AUGUUCAAUCCUUCUUCCUCGCUCGCUCCCACCUACAGUGACCCCUCCAUGCACCAUGCAGUGAACCCCUCUGGUGAUUUGCACACAGCUCCGACCGAAAUUCCUCGCGGCACCGGUUUCCUCCAUGCCAAUGGUGGCCUGUUUUCUCCGGUCGAUGUUGCUGCUUCAGCGCCGCCUUCCUGCAUCUCUCCCCUUCCUCCCUACAAUAUCAACACGAUCACCAGCACACACCCCUUACCAUUUCACCUCCAGUCUCUUGAACCCCUCAACGGUAAUGCUGCCUUCUCUUGCCCGUCUCGUUCGACAUGGCAGUUGCAUCCACCCCCAUUUGCUUCCUCCCCUUCCUCGUCCUCUGGUGACUUCUUUGAAUUCAGCAGCUCCGAUACCAUGCGGCGUGUCCUCAGCACCGGUGACCUGCAGGGCAACAAUGUUUCGCCACCAUUGCCGCCACCGCCAAUACCGCCACAAUUUCCAGGCGACAACUGCAGCCAGGAAGCUGGUGAUCCUUUUUCAGAGAAGGUGGGGCGUUACAGCGCCGAGGAACGGAAGGAGAGGAUCGAGAGGUACCGCGCCAAGCGCCAGCAGAGGAACUUCCACAAGAAGAUAACUUACGCUUGCAGGAAGACGCUGGCAGAUAGCCGGCCGAGGGUGCAGGGCCGCUUCGCCAGGAACAUGGAGGCGGAGGGCGACAUGGAGACGGAGGCGUCUGACAUCAGCUACGAGUACUGCCCAUACAACAACCUCGGCGGCAACCGCUACGACAGCCAGAGCCAGUGCGUGGAAACCGUCGGUGAUGGCACGGCGUUUGACGACAGCAAGUGGUGGUGGGGCACGCCGGUGGCAGCCAACAGGCAGCAGCAGCUUGGUUUCGACGUCGACGACGACGAAUCCCAGCUGUGGGCCAGCCUCGCUGACAUGUGCUAG
rnacentral:rRNA from 1 species